rnacentral:rRNA from 1 species
UACGGGAGGGUGCAAGCGUUAUCCGGAUUCACUGGGUUUAAAGGGUGUGUAGGCGGGCUAUUAAGUCAGUGGUGAAAUCUCCGGGCUCAACCCCGGAAACUGCCAUUGAUACUAUUAGUCUUGAAUUCUGUUGAGGUAGGCGGAAUAUAUCAUGUAGCGGUGAAAUGCAUAGAUAUGAUAUAGAACACCGAUUGCGAAGGCAGCUUACUUCACGAUCAUUGACACUGAGGCACGAAAGCGUGGGGAGCAAACAGG